UCUUAAAAACCUUUACUUUGAGACAUCAUGGAAAAAUCUGACAGGUACACAUGGAAAAGUAAGACAUGAUCACAGUUAAAAGUGAAGACAACCUAACCAGAAAGGUUUAAUGACUGUCAGCUAAUGUUGAAGCUAAAGUUCUGAGUGUGACAUGCUUUGGGACUGAGAGGAAUGGUAAUUAGUAUUCCUCUCCUUCCUCUUCACCCUCUCCUUCAGUAGAAUCCACACCGACCUCCUCAUAAUCCUUCCCAAGGGCAGCCAUGUCCUCACGGGCCUCAGAAAACUCUCCUUCCUCUAUGCGCUUACCCACUACCAGUGAACAAAGGCAUGCUUGGCAUACAUCAGGUCAAACUUGUAGUCCAGGUGAGCCCAGGCCUCAGUGAUGGCUAUGGUGUUGCUUAGCAUGCACACAGCUCGCUGUACUUUGGCCAGGUCUCCACCAGGUACCACAGUGAGAGGCUGGUAAUCAAUGCCAACUUUGAAGCCAAUGGGACACCAGUCUACAAACUGGAUGCUGCACUUGGUCUUGAUAGUGGCAAUGGCAGCACUGACAUCUUUGGGAACCAUGUCGCCAUGGUGCAACAGGCAGCAAGCCAUAUGUUUACCAUGGGGAGCGUCAUAUUUCACCACCUGAUUGGCUGGCCCAAAGCAUGCAGGUGUUCAUGGUAGACUUCUCAGCAGAGGUGACAGGGGCAUAUGUGGCCAGAGGGAAGUGGAUGUGGGGAUAGGGCACCCGGUUGGUUUGGAAUUCUGUUAGAUGAACAUUCAGGCCUCCAUCAAAUCUAAGGGAAAUCUAAGGGAAGCAGUGAUGGAAGACAUAAUCUGGCUAAUAAGGCAGUUAAGGUUAGUGUAGGUUGCAUGUUCAAUACUGAGGUUUCUAAAACAGAUGUCAUAGAUGGCCUCAUUGUCUACCAU
rnacentral:lncRNA from 1 species